rnacentral:misc_RNA from 1 species
GAUGAAGAACGCAGCGAAAUGCGAUAAGUAGUGUGAAUUGCAGAAUUCAGUGAAUCAUCGAAUCUUUGAACGCACAUUGCGCCCUUUGGUAUUCCUUAGGGCAUGCCUGUUCGAGCGUCAUUUAAACCUUCAAGCUCAGCUUGGUGAUGGGCGACUGUCCUCCCCUCGCGGGGGGACUCGCCUCAAAAACAUUGGCGGCCGGUACAUUGGCUUCGAGCGCAGCAGAAACGCGGUCUCGAGCCCGGUGGAUCGGCUCCCAUAAGCCUAUUCUUUUAUUUUGACCUCGGAUCAGGUAGGGAUACCCGCUGAACUUAAGCAUAUCAAUAAGGA